UAUUCCGCAAGAAGUGGGCUUUCCUCCAUUUUCCAACCUAAACGACUCUACGAAUCUAUGAUCGCUGCCCGAAGGAGAGUGGAAAUAAGGAGCUGACACCCGUCUGCUCUUGCUGGAUCCCGAGCUCUGCUGGAGGCUCCCUGCUGCCCUCUUGUUGCUGGAAAUGACAGUGGAAACAGGCGCAGUGUUUUGUGAUGGGAGCUUGACUAAUAUCCUCACAUUUGGGGGGAAAUCGUAGAGCUCACAUAGGAAUGUCUGUCUCAUUGCUGUGGCAUCCGGAAUAACAAAUACGGCAAUGGCAGCUACAGAGCCCAGCGCUCGUCUGAAGUGCCGCAUACUCGGAAGCACAAACACGGCUGAGGGGCAAGCUCAAGAGAGGAUUGUAGGCAGAGGCGAUAUAUCUUUUCAAUUUCUUAGUCUUGCAAAAUACAGAUGAGCUUUCAGCCGUACAAGCUUUCCCAUCAUGCUUGCUUUUCCCACAUGCUUAUUUUUCUGAUGUGCUUAGGGCAUCGCAACUGCUGCUUUAGUAAAUGAUAGAGACUGAGACUAAAGUGACUGAGUGUUUUCCAAGCUGAAUGCCACACACACAAGGCUUGAAGCAGCUCUGUAUGGCUACCAGAGAUUCUAUAUUUUAAUUUUGUAUUAUUAGUUAUUUUCUUUCCUUAGAUCACUAGUACUCUGACAUUGUUGUCAUUCACAUUGUAUUCAUGAAAUUUAUUUGAAAUAAUUUUUGUGGCUUGCAGCUCAGUUCCUGCUUGGUUUGCUGGUUGAUUUCUCUUCUGAAAAAAAAAAAAAAUCAAAUUUGAUUCUAAAUUGCUCCUUGUUUGCAAAGACCAGUGGCUAUGAAUGGGAUUCAGAGAACGAACUCUACUCUGUCCAGUCAUGAAUGGUAGCCAGGUCAGGGCUGAGCUGCAUUGGCAGGAGGCAGUGAUGUGGGAAGGUUGCCCUGCCAUUAUCUAUUCUGUAGACAAGCAGCAGAUUUAAUUCUCAGAGGAUCUCAAGCCUAUAAUAAAAUCUCAAUGGGAACAAAAAACCCUGACCCAGAAGACAGUGGUAUGUUCUACUUGUCCUCCUUAGUUGUGGGUGUAAGUGUGGCUGUGGAUCAAGAGAGCUGUGUGACAAUUUUGUGGAGCCUGUGUAUCAGAAGAAACCCAUCCCCCAGUGUUCUGCUGGAGUCACUGUGAGAAAACAAAAUGGAAGCUAUUAUCUGAAGACAGCUUUCAUCGUAGCAGCGAGGCAGGGAGCAGCUCAAGUAUAAUAAGACAAAAUGUGAGACAAAUGUUGCCUCCUCCGAGCCAGCCUCUGACCUCGACAGUGAGCGCCUUCCGCUAAGCUGGCUGUUUACAGCCCCCGCUCCGGCAUCCAUCUUGAGGUUUGUGGGAUGUUGUUUUUGUUCCCAUCCCUCCAUCUGAUCGGGCACAAGCAACAUAUAUUCCUCUGCCUUCAACCCCGACCCUGAGUGACCUGCCCUGAUAUUACCAAGAUUGCAUUACUGUCUCCAGUACUGCAAGAUGCAUCUGCGAGCACACACUCAGCCACACAGGUAACCGGGCUCUGCAAAACACCAUUUACCCUGGAAUGCAAGGAGACUCGGAGCUCAGCAAGGGCACUCCGGUUAACCCUUUCCUAGCAGGAAAAAAAAAAUUUCCCUCUGGUGAUCCCAGCCGAAACUCCUCUCUCAUACGUGGAAAUAUCGGAGCUGUAGCAGGCCCAAAGCAAUUUUCUUUGAAGGCUGCCUUGGCUGCGACUGCGGAUACAGUGACAAAGAGGAGAUUGUGGCAGAGCGUGCUGGCUGGGCGCUCGGGCAGGAAAGGGUUACUGUCUGCACAGCGCUGUGUCUGGAGCUCCAGGCAAAACCCAGAGAGAGACAAUGAUGUCAGCACUACCUCCAGGCCCAGGGCCCCUUGCCUGACAAUGUGGGCAAUCCAACACAUUCCCAUCUGCCACAACAAGAGCAUUCAUGCUCCUAUUUCCUGACCUCUUUGGAUUAAAGCAUGUGGAGUUAAAUAUACAUCCAGCCCCGUGCUCAUGCGCUUGCAUUGCACCAGAAAUAGACUUAUGGGAAACUGGCUGCAGCUUUUGCCACCCGACACUCGGGAUCUGUCUCAACGUUGUCAUCGACAAAAGCACAUGCUGGUCCGGUCGGGAGAUUGUACAGUCAUGUACACAUAGCUAAAAUACAGUUCCCUUUUGUGCCUGGAAAUGCUGCAUGUAAUCAGCACGCAGUCAGAAAGAGGUGGGGCGGGGGAAGGGCAGAUUAAAUACAAAAUGAAGAUUAGUCAGAGGCAGUGAUUUCAGCGUUUCAGCCAUCUGAAACUUGCUGAGUUUUUUAGUACCACAUAAAAAGUUCUGACAGCAGCGAGAGACCUUGGCUGAGCUGGGUGUCUGCACUCCAGGCUGGUGGAAGAGGGAGAGCAUGCGGCAGGGUUUGCACGCUGCCAUGCCGGGCUGGCAGCUCUGACAAGGAGAGCUUUUUGUUUGCUUAAGAGUGAAGCCGGUCUGGUAGUGCAAAAUUCUAGCAAUGAGAAGCAUUUUAUUGCUUUAAUUCAGGAUGUAUGUGUGUGGGGUCUGUUGCAUGCACAUGGGUAUCGUGUUGUUUCUUUCUCAUGUCUGUGGGUGCUGUGUAUCUGUGGCUCUAUGCCCAUAUGUAUCUGUGCAUCUCCAUAUUUAUCUGUCAUUCUGUGUCUGCAUUGCUCAGUCUUUUUCCUUUUAAGUGUCGGAGUUGCAUUUAUUUUCUGUGCACAGAUGAGUUAUCCUGUACUGUACACUAAGGGGGAAAGAAAUGUAGGGAUAGCUUGCAUUUUGUUUAUGUCUUUGUCAAGAAGAUGCUUCACAAUUGAGAAGUAUGAAUUAAAAAGAAAAUGAGACUAUUUAUUUUCCUUUCUUUCUCUUUUGUCUACAGUCUACAUUCUCAUGUCUUAUCUUCCCAGUCAUGUAUUUUCUUUUCUCUCCCUUUUCCCCCAUCACACUGCAAACUCCUGUUCCCAUAACAAAUGUUUUAAAUGUUAUCUAUCCUGCCUGUACAAUCAGUCCCUUUUUUCAUAGCAUGUUUCUUGUACAGUAAUCUUUUUUUUUUUUAACAACUCAUAGUAAUCCUUAACACAGCAAAUUCCUGUACACAGUUUGGUUUGGUAUCUUUCCCUUUCAUAUGUCCUCUGCUUAUGGCACUCAGAAUCUCACAGCGCACAACACAGGGAAGCAGAACAAAAAUAAACUCUCCAAAAUCUGUAGUUCCCCAAUGGCUCAAAGAGGUCUUGGAAGAAGGUUUAGCUAAUAAAAUCCUUAGAGGGUGGUUGGAGGGGUGAGGCCAAAUGGUUAAUGUAGGAUAAAAACUGCAAACCCCUUAAUUCUCUUAGUGUUUAGCUUAACUUUGCCUUGACACUGAAGAGAUGGUGGUAAGUAAGGAUGAGCUUGUAUUAGAAAUAGGAUUCUCUCUUUCUGCCCAGCCUUGCCUGUGCCAGUUCCAGUAUCACAGGGCAUCAGUGCUACAAAAUUCUCUAUCAGUUUCUGCUGGUAGAGGUUUGGAACUGCCUCACUUCUC